rnacentral:rRNA from 1 species
GCACAACGCGAAGAACCUUACCUACUCUUGACAUCCAGAGAACUUUCCAGAGAUGGAUUGGUGCCUUCGGGAACUCUGAGACAGGUGCUGCAUGGCUGUCGUCAGCUCGUGUUGUGAAAUGUUGGGUUAAGUCCCGCAACGAGCGCAACCCUUAUCCUUUGUUGCCAGCGGUUCGGCCGGGAACUCAAAGGAGACUGCCAGUGAUAAACUGGAGGAAGGUGGGGAUGACGUCAAGUCAUCAUGGCCCUUACGAGUAGGGCUACACACGUGCUACAAUGGCGUAUACAAAGAGAAGCGACCUCGCGAGAGCAAGCGGACCUCAUAAAGUACGUCGUAGUCCGGAUUGGAGUCUGCAACUCGACUCCAUGAAGUCGGAAUCGCUAGUAAUCGUGAAUCAGCAUUGUCACGGUGAAUACGUUCCCGGGUCUUGUACACACCG